AUGAACGCUGGCGGCGUGCCUAAUACAUGCAAGUCGAGCGAACGGACGAGAAGCUUGCUUCUCUGAUGUUAGCGGCGGACGGGUGAGUAACACGUGGAUAACCUACCUAUAAGACUGGGAUAACUUCGGGAAACCGGAGCUAAUGCCGGAUAAUAUUUUGAACCGCAUGGUUCAAAAGUGAAAGACGGUCUUGCUGUCACUUAUAGAUGGAUCCGCGCUGCAUUAGCUAGUUGGUAAGGUAACGGCUUACCAAGGCAACGAUGCAUAGCCGACCUGAGAGGGUGAUCGGCCACACUGGAACUGAGACACGGUCCAGACUCCUACGGGAGGCAGCAGUAGGGAAUCUUCCGCAAUGGGCGAAAGCCUGACGGAGCAACGCCGCGUGAGUGAUGAAGGUCUUCGGAUCGUAAAACUCUGUUAUUAGGGAAGAACAUAUGUGUAAGUAACUGUGCACAUCUUGACGGUACCUAAUCAGAAAGCCACGGCUAACUACGU
rnacentral:rRNA from 1 species